rnacentral:rRNA from 1 species
UACGAAGGGGGCUAGCGUUGCUCGGAAUCACUGGGCGUAAAGGGUGCGUAGGCGGGUCUUUAAGUCAGGGGUGAAAUCCUGGAGCUCAACUCCAGAACUGCCUUUGAUGCUGAAGAUCUUGAGUUCGGGAGAGGUGAGUGGAACUGCGAGUGUAGAGGUGAAAUUCGUAGAUAUUCGCAAGAACACCAGUGGCGAAGGCGGCUCACUGGCCCGAUACUGACGCUGAGGCACGAAAGCGUGGGGAGCGAACAGG